rnacentral:lncRNA from 1 species
UUUAAUCUUAAAUUGCUUAACUUUAUGCAUUUUUUCUUUGAUAAUUACUAAUAACCAACAGAAAUAUAAUCACUCCUUCUUCAGGUACGUAAUUACAUCAUUUCGCAGAAACAUUAUUCUAUAUCUUUUUUCUUAAAUUGAGCUGUUGCAUGUGAGUGUACUCAAGAAAAACGGAGAGUACGACACACAGAGGAUUUCUAGGGGAAUUAUCUUCUAUACUAUUAAAGUAAAAUUUGUAUUUUAGCCGAUCCCUAAUCACUCCUGGUAAUUCCCUCUACUACCCUUAAUACACUAUUGACAUUUUUGGAAAAAAUCAAAGUUCGACAGUCUUAAGGACCAAUAGGACCGGCCCUAAGAGAGGACUGGACUAGACGGAAGAAAUUGGAAGCAACACAACACUAUAAUAAAUGUUGAUUAGUUAAACUCAAAUUAUUUUAUUAGGCGUAACAAAAUCAUUAGUUUAUGAUAUCUUCUUUAUAUACAAAACAAAAAACUGAUUUUAGGGAAAAAAUGGCAAGGGAAAAAAAGGAAUAGUGACAAAGUGGAAAAAAUGGCAAAAUUAUUUUAAGCUGAUAUAAUACCUAUCAACAAUAUAAUAUAUAUAAAGAUAAACAAAAAUAAACAAACAAGACAGCAGGUUGAAUGGAAGAAGUGCUAAUCACUUAAUUCUCCGUUAUCAAUUAACAUUAGAAUGUAGAUAUGAUGGAUUAUUCAUAUUGGACAAGACUCAUGGAUUGGCGAACAGUCAUAACAUCAAAUUAAGCAGGAACAGUUAUUUCCACUGGCAGUU